ACGCUCGACACCUACGGAGGCAGCAGUGGGGAAUAUUGCACAAUGGGGGAAACCCUGAUGCAGCGACGCCGCGUGAGGGAAGAAGGUUUUCGGAUUGUAAACCUCUGUCCUUGGUGAAGAAGGAAGACGGUAGCCAAGGAGGAAGCCACGGCUAACUACGCGCCAGCAGCCGCGGUAAUCUGAGCGGGCUGGCAAGGC
rnacentral:rRNA from 1 species